GCCUGGCGCCAGCACUGAGUAGAGGUCCAUUGGUAGCGCAUGAGACUCUUAAUCCCAGGGUUGUGGAUUCAAGCCCCGCAUUGGGCA